rnacentral:rRNA from 1 species
CCUACGGGUGGCUGCAGUGAGGAAUAUUGGUCAAUGGCCGGAAGGCUGAACCAGCCAAGUCGCGUGAGGGACGACUGCCCUAUGGGUUGUAAACCUCUUUUAUAAGGGAAGAAUAAAUGCUACGUGUAGCAUGAUGCCUGUACCUUAUGAAUAAGCAUCGGCUAACUCCGUGCCAGCAGCCGCGGUAAUACGGAGGAUGCGAGCGUUAUCCGGAUUUAUUGGGUUUAAAGGGUGCGUAGGCGGGUUAUCAAGUCAGCGGUAAAAUCGUGGAGCUCAACUCCAUCCAGCCGUUGAAACUGAUGAUCUUGAGUGGGCGAGAAGUAUGCGGAAUGCGUGGUGUAGCGGUGAAAUGCAUAGAUAUCACGCAGAACUCCGAUUGCGAAGGCAGCAUACCGGCGCCCGACUGACGCUGAAGCACGAAAGCGUGGGUAUCGAACAGGAUUAGAUACCCGAGUAGUC